rnacentral:misc_RNA from 1 species
UCUCGGGCGCUGCUCUCAGACGGCGCCGCGCGCUCCCUCACACCCCUUCUACCGCGGCCGCCACCCCCUCUAGUGGGAUGCAGGGGUGUCUUGGACAGGGAAUGCGGACGACCAACUCUCGCCCUCUCUCCACCUUGCAUUUUUCUCUUCCCCGACGCUAACGAGUCAGUGCGUACCUGUCCCUGCGGAAUGAUUAUCCUUGUGCAUGCGUGCGCGUGUGUGCCUUCGAUCGACUAUUUUUUUUUGUAUGCAUCCUUUGAACGCUAUCCUCGAGACGUAACGGUGCGACGAGAUCGGGGGCUGAUCGGGCAUUGCUUGCUCAACCAAAGCGAGAUGCGCAUUCUCCACUGCAGUGUUCCUUCUAGUUUUCAUUCGCUUGGAUAAAGGGCCGCAGUGGCCGCCUGGUCUCUUCUUGUGAUGUCCACUGUCCGUGUCCUCAGAGGGAGGCCCGCAUUCUAUUUGGCAAGCCCUGCAUACUCCGCACCCUCGUCCGUGCACACAAGCACAACACGUACGCACCUCGAUGCUCCGGUGUGUGAAAGACGCACUCUAUUCCUGCCAGUGUAUGAGUUUGGUGUAGGCGGCACGAUCGCGCACACCGCACCAGCAGUCGGGAUCGUUCGAGGCGAACAGACGGACUCUUGCUAGUGGGUCCUCGGUAUUCGUUGUCUCCCUUCCUCCAUCCCUCUCACUCCUGCCCCCACGCUUUCUCCCUCACGCGGACGAAG